CUUUGUUUUUGAGCGGGGCGCUCUUUUAGGUUCCAUAUUUUGACUGUGUGCGUCUUUGUGACUGCCGAUUAUUUCCAAAUGGCUGAUAUUGUCUUUCUGUUUUUUGAGGAUUUUUUCAGCCAGCUG